UACGUAGGAUGCAAGCGUUGUCCGGAUUUACUGGGCGUAAAGCGCGCGCAGGCGGCAAGGUAAGUAAGGUGUGAAUAUCCCGGCUCAACCGGGAGGGUGCACUUUAGACUGCUUUGCUUGAGGUCGGUAGAGGGGGGUGGAAUUGCUGGUGUAGCGGUGAAAUGCGUAGAGAUCAGCAGGAACACCCGUGGCGAAGGCGGCCCCCUGGGCCGUACCUGACGCUGAGGAGCGAAAGCAUGGGGAGCGAACAGG
rnacentral:rRNA from 1 species